rnacentral:rRNA from 1 species
UACGUAGGGCGCAAGCGUUGUCCGGAAUUAUUGGGCGUAAAGAGCUCGUAGGCGGUUUGUCGCGUCUGCUGUGAAAACCUAAGGCUCAACCUUGGGCUUGCAGUGGGUACGGGCAGACUAGAGUGCGGUAGGGGUGACUGGAAUCCUGGUGUAGCGGCGGAAUGCGCAGAUAUCAGGAGGAACACCGAUGGCGAAGGCAGGUCACUGGGCCGCAACUGACGCUGGAGGAGCGGAAAGCAUGGGAGCGAACAGG